rnacentral:rRNA from 1 species
GACGAACGCUGGCGGCGUGCUUAACACAUGCCAGUCGAACGGAAAGGCCCCUUUGGGGGUACUCGAGUGGCGAACGGGUGAGUAACACGUGAGUAACCUGCCCUUGACUUCGGGAUAACUUCAGGAAACUGGGGCUAAUACCGGAUAGGAAUCCUUGCUGCAUGGUGGGGGUUGGAAAGCUUCGGCGGUUUUGGAUGGACUCGCGGCUUAUCAGCUUGUUGGUGGGGUAGUGGCUUACCAAGGCUUUGACGGGUAGCCGGCCUGAGAGGGCGACCGGCCACAUUGGGACUGAGAUACGGCCCAGACUCCUACGGGAGGCAGCAGUGGGGAAUAUUGCACAAUGGGCGGAAGCCUUAUGCAGCAACGCCGCGGGCGGGAUGACGGCCUUCGGGUUGUAAACCGCUUUCAGCAGGGGCGAAGCUUGUGGUGACGGUACCUGCAGAAGAAGCACCGGCUAACUACGUG